rnacentral:snoRNA from 1 species
CUUCAGUGAUGAUUUCUGUUUUGUGCCACGUGUCUGGGCCACUGAUUAUCUAUGAUGGAAUAGAGGAUCUGAAGAAG